CCGACUAUGCGGCCCAUUAGGGAGUUGGUAGGGUAACGGCUCCGGCGAUACGAUCCGUCCCUACCAAGACUGCGAUGGGUAGGGGCCCUGAGAGGGGGAUCCCCCACACUGGUACUGAGAGAUCCAGCCAUGCCGCGUGCAGGAAGACGGUCCUAUGGAUUGUAAACUGCUUUUAUACGGGAAGAACCUAGGGCACGUGUGCUCUACUGACGGUACCGUAAGAAUAAGGAUCGGCUAACUCCGUGCCAGCAGCCGCGGUAAUACGGAGGAUCCGAGCGUUAUCCGGAAUCAUUGGGUUUAAAGGGUCCGUAGGCGGGCCAUUGGGUCAGGGGUGAAAGUCUGCCACUCAACCGUAGAAUUGCCUUUGAUACUGGUGGUCUUGAGUUAUGGUGAAGUAACUAGAAUAUGUGGUGUAGCGGUGAAAUGCAUAGAUAUCACAUGGAAUACCGAUUGCGAAGGCAGGCUACUAACAGAUUAUUGACGCUGAUGGACGCGAGCGUGGGUAGCGAACAGGAUUAGAUACCCUGGUAGUCCACGCUGUAAACGAUGGAUACUAGCUGUUCGACGAGAUUAAUUGUUGAGUGGCUAAGCGAAAGUGAUAAGUAUCCCACCUGGGGAGUACGAACGCAAC
rnacentral:rRNA from 1 species